UUUUCAGAUGGCUUUUAAUUUGAAACAACGGAUACAGGAAGUGUGAAGAGGAAGAGAGAAAAAGGAAUACAGAGAGAGGAGAUAUUAGAAAGGUAGAUUAAACUAAGUAACUAUAAGUUAGUUCUAAAUUUUACAGUUAAAAAGAACAUUCACUAUGUAGUGUAAAGCUGUUAGCACAGUAUUUGGGUAAACAAAGAAAUGCUAAUUCACCUCAGCGAAUAUUUCUAUACUUGCCCAGCCAGUUAACAGUGGCUCCAGACAUUGUUUUGGCCUAGCAGAUGAAGCCGGGUGUGGAGUAACUGGAUGCAGAAGAUUUUUUCAUAAUGCCUGACAGGAGUCAUCAUCCUCUGGCUCCAGACUGCCAAAGCCCCAUUUAUCAGACAGUGUAAUACUCAGAGGUGUCUGCUGUCUCUUGGUAGAGGAGUAAACUGGCAACCUGACAUAAGUAGGAAACAGCGCACGCUCUUGGAUUGUUGGUAAAAGCUGAAUAUAAUUUGAACAUGUAUUUGUAGCCUAAUGCUUUAAAUAGGGAUGGGAGAAGUAAGGUUUACUGACACAAUAUUCCACACAUAUUAAGUUAACCUACAAGUUAACCUACAUUUACAUAGCUGCAAAAUCAAGGCGGAUUUGUCAUCCAGUGGCAGGGCUGGUAUGAAAUAGCAAUAAAAGGCAACAGAAUAAAUAAGAAACA
rnacentral:lncRNA from 1 species